rnacentral:tRNA from 1 species
UAGCUUAGUGGUUAAGGCUAUGGAUCGCCAAUCCGGAGACGGCGGGUUCGACUCCCGU